UUUACAAAAGAGGCCUGGCCCAAUAGAGCCUAUCGUGGCAUCAUCUCGUUCCUGACUGGUGUGUCGCCAUCUGCUCAAAAAAAAAAAAGACUGUUGUUUCGCCAAAAAUAAAAAAAUAAAAAAAAUUUCUUCAUUGUAUCAUAUCCACCGCUUGCUCCACUCCCGAUCCCCAUCCCGCCGCCCCCGUCGCCGGUCGAUUCCGGCCGGCUCCGGCGAGACCCCGCGCCGCCGAUUACUACCGACCCGAAGCCACCCUCUGCUCCUCCCGCGAUUCCAAGACGUGGAGCUAGCCGCCUAUCUGCUACCCCACAACGAACCUUAGACCCGUGGAUCCCGGCUGGUCGGCGCCGCCUCGGACGCCUUUCGCUUGGCUGCAGCACCACGCUGUGCGGUGGCCGUUGACGCUGCCCCAACGCUGGCGCUUUUCCGCCGGUCCUACUCUUGCUAGGGUUAGGACGGGGGCGUCGCCUCCGCCGGGAUGAACACCGCCUCCAUGACAACCGAGGCUACAAGGUUCCCCUUCCUUGGAGUCGUGGAAUCUGCUCCACAUUCCUUGGAGUUUUCUGUUCCAUCAAGCUACAGUUUCAGAGUUUUUCCCAUUUCCAGAAUCAUGGUUUCUCAUAUAUGUCUAUCUACUUUGAAGCAAAAGCUACUUGCCGUGUGUGUUGCUGUGUUGUACCAGUUUGCUUCUUUGUAGUUCAUUUUCUUUUCUAUUUCGUUGGUUGGGGCUAUAUUCCAGUAAGAAUGCAGAGAACUGUAGUAACGUUGUUAUAAUCUGAUACUAUGAUUAUGUUCCUUAGGUUUGAGGAAAUUCGAGUGACUAUGAACAGUAGGAAUUUCUUUUGUCCGAAUUUUUGGUAUGUGCUCAUAUAUCAAUAUACUCCAUCCGUCCCAGUUCACAGGGCUUACGUAUAUCCCUAGGUUUACCUAUUUAACCAACAUAAUAUCAAUUGUAUAGUACAAAAACUAUGUCAUUAGAAAGUACAAUAUCUAAGCUUUCUAAUGAUAUAUAUUUUAUAAUAUAUAUUUUGUAUUAUGUUGAUAAAAUUUACGACCUAAAAAUACGUGCAAGCCCUAUGAACUGGGGCGGAGGUAGUAUAUUUGAUGUCGAGCUUCUGUAGUUAGAGUGUUAGUCUAUGGAUGGCAGUCUUGCUGGUGGAAGGCAGCGUGGGGAUCGGAACUGCCAGCCUUGCCCAUAGGAUCAAAGCCGCCGGCAACCAUCCUCCACGCCUGUGGGAUCGGCCGCCACUGCUUCUUCUCCACCGACCCAUUGGCGUUACUGUAGUGAGGUUAAACUUCACAACGCAUCGGCAUGUCCGGUGAGAGGCACUCCCCCCGUGCAGAUCUUCCAGCACAGUGAGCCAUUUGGCGUCCAGAGGAGGGGCACAUGCUGCUCUCCCGUACCCAUUGCACGCGCUGGAGACCAGGUAUCGUGGGUGUGCGCUAAUGGCGACAGAUUGACGGCAAUGGUGCUGGCGACGAAAUAGAGAGCGGUGACCACCCGUUUAGCUGUCCUGAGAUUGGUGGAAUGGAUGGCAGUCUCAAAGACAGCGCAGUUUGGAGAUUCCGUUUUUACUGUGUGACUUGUAUUCAGUUAUGAUUGGAUUUACCAAAUGGAUUUCUGAGAUGUUAAUUUGUUUCUCUUACUAGUCAUAGUUUUCUAGUUCAAAGUAACUAUUUCUUAGCAUUUGGUCAGAUUCCUUCCAACUAAGAAAUAAUGUACUGUAAUGCUGUUAGUUCUAAGUACCAGCUUCAAGUUUCUUAUAUAAUGUACCGUAAUGCUGUAAGUUCCAAGUAGCAGCUUCAAGUUUCUUAUGAAGCCCAGGAAUGUGAAUAAGUUGAUAUUUCUCUCAAGUA